ACGGGGAGCAGCAGGCGCGAAACCUUUACACUGCACGCCRGUGCGAUAAGGGGACCCCGAGUGCGAGGGCAUACAGUCCUCGCUUUUCGUGACCGUAAGGUGGUCACAGAAUAAGAGCUGGGCAAGACCGGUGCCAGCCGCCGCGGUAAUACCGGCAGCUCGAGUGAUAGCCACUUUUAUUGGGCCUAAAGCGUCCGUAGCCGGCCGAACAGGUCCGUCGGGAAAUCCACUCGCUCAACGAGUGGACGUCCGGCGGAAACCAGUCGGCUUGGGGCCGGGAGACCAGAGAGGUACGUCCGGGGUAGGAGUGAAAUCCUGUAAUCCUGGACGGACCGCCGGUAGCGAAAGCGUCUCUGGAGAACGGACCCGACGGUGAGGGACGAAAGCUUGGGUCUCGAACCGGAUUAGAUACCCGGGUAGUCCAAGCCGUAAACGAUGCUCGCUAGGUGUGGCGUUGGCUACGAGCCAGCGCUGUGCCGUAGGGAAGCCGAGAAGCGAGCCGCCUGGGAAGUACGUCCGCAAGGAUGAAACUUAAAGGAAUUGGCGGGGGAGCAC
rnacentral:rRNA from 1 species